rnacentral:rRNA from 1 species
GACGAACGCUGGCGGCGUGCUUAACACAUGCAAGUCGAACGGAAAGGCCCUGCUUUUGUGGGGUGCUCGAGUGGCGAGCGGGUGAGUAACACGUGAGUAACCUGCCCUUGACUUUGGGAUAACUUCAGGAAACUGGGGCUAAUACCGGAUAGGAGCUCCUGCUGCAUGGUGGGGGUUGGAAAGUUUCGGCGGUUGGGGAUGGACUCGCGGCUUAUCAGCUUGCUGGUGGGGUAGUGGCUUACCAAGGCUUUGACGGGUAGCCGGCCUGAGAGGGUGACCGGCCACAUUGGGACUGAGAUACGGCCCAGACUCCUACGGGAGGCAGCAGUGGGGAAUAUUGCACAAUGGGCGGAAGCCUGAUGCAGCAACGCCGCGUGCGGGAUGACGGCCUUCGGGUUGUAAACCGCUUUCGCCUGUGACGAAGCGUGAGUGACGGUAAUGGGUAAAGAAGCACCGGCUAACUACGUG